rnacentral:misc_RNA from 1 species
UCCGAGUUGACCCCGGCAGUCUUCGAUGAGUCCCCGGCAUAACCCGCUGGCAACAUCGAACAAGGGUUGCGCUCGUUGCGGGACUUAACCCAACAUCUCACGACACGAGCUGACGACAGCCAUGCAGCACCUGUGUUACGUCUCCCUUUCGGGCACACCCAGCUCUCGCUGGGCUUCCGUACAUGUCAAGGGUAGGUAAGGUGGGGAGACGUGGACGUCAUACC